rnacentral:rRNA from 1 species
GACAGAGGGUGCGAACGUUGUUCGGAAUUACUGGGCGUAAAGCGCGUGUAGGCUGUCCGGCAAGUCGGGUGUGAAAGCCCUGGGCUCAACCUAGGAAGUGCACUCGAAACUCCCGGACUCGGGUCCCGGAGAGGAAGGCGGAAUUCUCGGUGUAGAGGUGAAAUUCGUAGAUAUCGAGAGGAACAUCGGUGGCGAAGGCGGCCUUCUGGACGGUGACUGACGCUGAGACGCGAAAGCGUGGGGAGCAAACAGG